UCCGUCCGUUGCGUGGCCGGCAGGAGGCGCAGCGGCACGCGCGAGGCUGGGCGCCAGCCCCGGCCGACGGCGGGUGGGAGCAGCGCGGGAACGUGGUGGCGCGGCGGGCUGUUCCUGAGGCCACGGCUCCCUAGCAUUCUUUGGCUGAAGCCCCGGUCCUUGCCCAUGAAGCGUCACCCAUCAUGUUUUAUGGGACGCACUUCAUCAUGUCCCCGCCCACCAAGAGCAAGCUGAAGCGACAGAGCCAGCUGUUGUCCAGCAUGCUGUCCCGGACGCUGAGCUACAAGUACCGGGACCUGGACUCCACCUUCUCCAGCCUGGGCACCAGUGACGACCCUGCUGAGCUCUCCACCCAGCUCUCGGCCCCUGGCGUCCUGAAGGUGUUUGGGGACAGUGUCUGCACAGGAACUCACUACAAAAGCGUCCUGGCCACCGGCACCUCCAGCGCCCGUGAGCUGGUGAAGGAGGCACUGGAGCGGUACGCCCUGGACCCUGGGCAGGCCAGCCAGUACGUGCUGUGUGACGUGGUGGGCCAAGCUGGUGACGCUGGGCAGCGAUGGCAGGCUCAGUGCUUUCGGGUUUUUGGGGACAGUGAGAAGCCCCUCUUGAUCCAGGAAUUAUGGAAACCCCGAGAAGGUUUAUCCCGGAGGUUUGAGCUGAGGAAGAGGUCAGAUGUGGAGGAGCUGGCAGCCAAGGAGGUGGACACCGUCACGGCAGGGAUAAACGCCCAGGCCCGGAGGCUGCAGCGGAGCCGGGCGAAGGGAACCCCGGCCCUGGCCCUAGGGGAUGCCCGGAGCUCCCCUCCACCCCUGCUGCGCCGCACGGUCAGCGAGACCAGCCUGAGCCCAGCAACUGCCCUUCCUGCCACUGCCCACGGUCCGGAGGAGCCUGGCCCAGACGCCAUGCGGUACUCGCUGUACCAGUCCCCACACCUGCUCCUUCUGCAGGGCUACAGCCAGCAGCAUGACAGCCUGGUGUAUGUGCUCAACCGGGACCGGCACACAGUGGGCCAGCGGACCCCCUCCAGCAAGCCCAGCAUCAUUCUCUCGGCCCCCGACAUCCUGCCCCUGCACUGCACCAUCCGCCGCCACCCACUCGCGGACAGUGGCCAGGCUGGGGGGAGGCUGGUCCUGGAGCCCAUCCCCGGGGCGCCCAUCUCCGUCAACUUCUCUGAGGUGGGGCACCGGACUGUGGUGCUGCACCACGGGGAUCUGCUCUCCCUGGGACUCUACUACCUGCUGCUGUUCAAGGACCCUGCACAGGCCCAGCCCCUGCCUGCCCACGCCUUGGCGCACCUCCGGGCCGUGCCGCAGAGCUGCCGGCUGUGUGGAGCUGCGCUAGGGGCCCGGGGAGCCGCCUCCCCGACACAGGCCGCCCUGCCCAGGCGCCAGCAGCUGCUCCUGGAGUUCGAGCCCCACCUGGAGGACACGCUGCUGCAGAGGAUCAUGACGCUCAUCGAGCCAGGGGGCGACGACCACAAGCUGACCCCUGCCUUCCUCCUGUGCCUAUGCAUCCAGCACUCAGCCACCCACUUUGAGCCGGGCACAUUCGGGCAGCUCCUGCUCAAGAUAGCCAGGCUCAUCCGCAAGACCGUCUGGGAGAAAACCAAAGAACUAGCAGAGAAGCAGGCGCCACUCCAGGAGCCCGUCUCGCUGGCCAGCUGCUCCAUGACUGACCUGGUUCCGGACCUGCAGCCCAUUCUUUUCUGGAUGUCUAACUCCAUUGAGCUCCUGUACUUUAUCCAGCAGAAAUGCCCACUCUAUAUGCAGAGCAUGGAGGAGCAGCUGGACAUCACAGGCUCAAAGGAGUCGCUCUUCUCCUGCACGCUGACGGCCAGCGAGGAGGCCAUGGCAGUGCUGGAGGAGGUGGUACUCUAUGCCUUCCAGCAGUGUGUCUACUACGUCUCCAAGUCCCUGUACAUCUGCCUCCCGGCACUCUUGGAGUGCCCCCCGUUUCAGAUGGAGCGCCGUGAGAGCUGGUCCUCAGCCCCCGAGCUGCCUGAGGAGCUGCGCCGUGUGGUGUCCGUGUACCAGGCGGCCCUGGACCUCCUGCGGCAGCUGCAGGUGCACCCCGAGGUGGCCUCACAGAUGCUCGCCUACCUCUUCUUCUUCUCUGGGACCCUGCUCCUCAACCAGCUCCUCGACAGGGGCCCGUCGCUGAGCUGCUUCCACUGGCCCAGAGGCGUCCAGGCCUGCGCCCGCCUGCAGCAGCUCCUGGAGUGGAUGCGGAGCGCCGGCUUCGGGGCAGCUGGAGAGCACUUCUUCCGCAAACUCUCCUGUACCCUCAACCUGCUGGCCACACCCAGGGCCCAGCUCAUCCAGAUGAGCUGGGCAGCUCUGCGGGCCGCAUUCCCUGCCCUGAGCCCAGCACAGCUGCACCGGCUGCUGACUCACUACCAGCUGGCCUCGGCCAUGGGCCCCAUGAGCGUCUGGGAGCCAGGGACCCAGGACAGCCCCGACGCCUUCAGGUCAGAGGACGUCCUGGAGUCCUAUGAAAACCCGCCACCCAUCGUCCUGCCCAGCGAGGGCUUCCAGGUGGACUUGGAAGCUGACUGCCUGGAUGACAGCAUCUACCAGCAUCUGCUCUACAUCCGCCACUUUCUGUGGGGCCUGCGGAGCAGAGCCAGUCCUGGCAGUGGGGCCCCCCAGCCAGCCUGCCCGGAGGAUGUACACCACGCCAUCCCUGAGGGGCACCUGGAGGCCCCGAGCUGCCCCCUGGCCUCCAGGGACCCUGGUCCAGCAGCCCGGGAAGCCGCCUCGGAGCGUACUCUUCCCUUGAGGGGGGCUCCCUGGGCACAGGCCCCCUCUGGAAGGCAGCCUGGCCGUGGGGGCUCCCAGGCUGGCCCCCCACACAAGGACUCAUCCUGCUUGCUCACGCCUCCCAGCACUCCACUGGGCCCUGAGCCCAGGGACCCCGGCUGGCCAGUGCCCGGCGGCCCGUGUGGCAAAGUGCUCCCAGAAAGGCAGAGGAACGGACCCAGAGGCCUCCCGGGCGCAGCUUCGGAAGGAGACUCUGCAGCCCCCGAGGACGAGUCCCCUCCAGCCCCCUCCAGCCGCAGCUCCAGCACCGAGGAUUUCUGCUAUGUCUUCAUGGUAGAGCUGGAACGAGGCCCCUCGGGGCUGGGAAUGGGCCUGAUCGAUGGGAUGCACACACGCCUGGGCACCCCCGGGCUCUACAUCCAGACCCUGCUCCCGGGCAGCCCUGCAGCAGCCGAUGGGCGCCUGUCGCUGGGAGACCGCAUUCUGGAGGUGAACGGCAGCAGCCUCCUGGGCCUCGGCUACCUGAGAGCCGUGGACCUGAUCCGCCAUGGGGGGAAGAAGAUGCGGUUCCUGGUCGCCAAGUCUGACGUAGAAACAGCCAAGAAGAUCCAUAUCCGCACGCCCCCUCUCUAGGGGGCCGCAAGGCACCCCCGCACGCCCAGCGCCCUGUCCCACCCACUGACACCGGGCUUCCUCCUGCCUUGUCCCUGUUUUGUAACUGACCGAGUUGGGUGCCCGGGUGGGCAGCCUCACCUGUUGAUAACCUGCAUCUCAGUGGAGGUUUUAUUUAUAUGAGGGUGACCUGCUGGGAUCUCAUCUCGGGCAGCAGGUGUGGGCCGCUCAGAGGGGAUGCAGGGGGCUCCCUGUGGCCUCUACCUGCCAGUGCGGGAAGAUGCGGUGACAGCUGUCGUCAGGAUCAUCUAAACUGCCUCUCCCUGCCCCUGCCCCACCCCGACACAGGGCACAGCAGGAAGCAGCCCCAGCAGCUCCUCCCAGCCAGCACAGGGACCAGACCCGCCAUAGAGGCUGCUGGGCUUCUAAUUCUGCUGCUCAGCACAGGCCCCAGAGAAAGGUCUAGAAACCCAGGGGUUGGAACGUGAACGGGCCUGAUGGUCUCCGAUGCCCAGAGCCCACCUUGGUCCUUGCCUCCUCCCCCAGGACUCCUGCUCGCUCCUGAGUGCCUCUUCCCAACUAAAGCCACCAGUUUGGCCCUAAUACCAGGCUGCCGGCCCCAGGCUCUUAUCCUCACCGGCGUUCCCCUGGCCACCGGCCCUGACGAGGUGAGGCCGGCCUCCCUCUCUACCAGCCGGCUGACCGUGCGCAGGGCCAGGGCAGGGCCCUGCCGGCCUCGCGGUGACAGCGGGGCUGGCUGGGCAUCUUCAACAGGGUUAGCAGCUCUGUGGCCCGGCUCCCACGCCCUCCUCACUGUGGUGGAGCUGGUGGCCCAGGGUCAUCUUUGAUACCAAAAGAGAGGCCCUGGGGAAGAGGGUCCCUGCCAGUCAGUUGCAGAUGCCCCCCUCACAUGGCCAGGGGUCUGCGCGGGGUCCCCAAACCAGUGUCCUGGGCCCGUCCCAGACACGGGGCCUCGCGCAGCUCCAUGCUGCCCUCUGGUGUGCACUGCGGCGAGGUGCAGUGUGUCCGCCUGGCACCCUGUGUGGACCUGCAGUCUGCAGCUACGCAUUGCGCCUGGCUCCAAGUGGCUGCCCACUGCCAGGUUCCUAAAACACUGGAUAAAAUAUAGAUAUUUGUCCCUCCUAUCUCAUCCCGAGACGAAGAAUGUCCUAUCCUGGGAAUGCAGCCCAGUAGGUCUCAGCUUGGUUUUACCCAGCUGCCAUUCAAGAUGGAGUUGCUCUAGUUCCAGCGCCUCUGACAUAAUAUGAAGUCAUGCAACAUGUGACCUAGGGUUUGCAUUCUUUCACUUGUAUAACGUUUCUAAGGUUCAUUAUCUUUUCUGUAAAUCUGAAACUAUUCUAAAAUUUUAAAGUUUAUUUUAAAAACAGUUGAGAGCUGGUGAGCUCUGCCCUUUUCCCAGCUGUCUCCUGGAAUCCCCCCAGGAGGCCGCUCCUCCUUGGGCUGGGGUCGUGCCCUCGGAGUCACCAAGAUGAACUGGACAGCCCUGCAAGCCACACUCCCCCGUCCUAAGCCCGGCGCAGCUGCACAGGCUGCGGGAGUAGCACCAGGUGGCCUGGGCGGUGGCCCCAUCAGUGCCUGGGAGCUGGGAGCCAGGAUAGCACCGACGUCUUCAGGUCAGUGAAGCCCCGCCUCAGGGCAGGAGGGGAGCUGGGGACUCCGUGGGAGACUCAUUUUAAGGCUAGGGGCGUCACCGCGCUCUCUGAACUUCAGGAUGGGCCCAGCAGCGCCUUCACACCCUCUGCUGCUGGCGGGGUCGUGCAGCGCACGGGGAAGCUAUCCCGAGACCUGCGCACAUACAUGCACGUGCGCACGCACACCUCGGUGUGCACAGUUCUACACGUGCGCUGCUGUUUCCACGUGGAAACACAAACAGCCGACGGAAGCGCCUGCCAGCGCAUGCCUUUCCUGCGGCCCCGGGCUAUUCUGGGCCCAGCCCGCCCGGCCGCGGGGGACACCAUCCGCCCUGGAGCUCAGAACGCGACCCCAGGCUGCGGCGCAGGGGAGCACUUCCUGGGCUGGAACCUGGCGGUGAGGACCCAGCGGGUUCGGCCUGAGCGUCUGGGGAGCUCCAGAGCCCGCACGGUGUCCCCUGCUCCGCCCCCUGCGUCACCCGCCCUCUCCAUAGUCCAAAAGCCGGGCUAGGGGCAGGAUCCCCUGGCCAUCUUCAGCUGGUGGUUUUUGGCCGCGAAGCCGUGGGGAAUCUGGGGAGGUGGCGGGGCCAGAGCAAAACGUGGGCCGGAGGCGGAGCCAGAGCCGGGGGUGGGACGCGAGGCUCGCGGGGCAAUGGCGCCCCCUGGUGGCUGAGCCCGUCCUAGGCGCCAGGCAGAACGCCGGACAAAGCUGUGCCUCAAUGGCCCGGCGGAUAGGAGUGCAGGGCCCGGGAAGUUGGCGGGGCCGGUGCCGCCUCCUCAGGCGCUCCCCUUCGCGCGAAGCCAGCGCUCUGAGCACAGCCCUCGUGCAGGUGGCUCCCUGGCCUUCCCCUCCGAAUGGCCGGAGGCUGAGGCUGCACAGGCCACGGCACCUGCAGCCCUCCCGGGCCCUUUUCUCAAGAGCAUCAAAACGGGUACUGACUAAGCACACCGCGCAGCAGAGUGACCACCCCCUGGGAACUCGCGCCACUGCCUUCUGCACAGUGCAUGAAUGCCGUUUUCAGCAGCAGCUGGCAGCAGCCUGGCCUGGCAGAGCCCCCAGGACUGGCAGCAGCUGCAGGGGCUCCCAUCCCUGGCCCUCUCCCCAGGGUGCAGGGCACUGUUCACAGAGACACUUGUUAAAGGAUAUUUAUUUUUAUUGCACCUUUUCCUGCCCCUAAACUGCCCAAGAACAAAGACUAGGAAACAGACCCGGCAGCCUCCACCCAGCCCAGCCACAAGGCCUCAGCCUCCCAUCAGAGCCGCUCCACAGCUCCCCUCAGCUCAGCUCAGCUCAGCUCAGCAUGGCCGAGGAGCAAAAAGCUCGGAGACAAAGCCCAGAGGGUGAACAGGGGGCCAGCUCUGAGUGUCGCUAAGGGCACCAAGCGCAGCCUGGGCCCUGCCUCUCUCCCAGGACUCCCGUGCCCUCCUGAGUUCCUCUCCAUCACAAAAGCUGACAGCUUGGCCCUAACAGCAAGCUGGUGGCCCCAGGUUCUUAAUCUGCGCCAGCAUCCCUGGCCACUGUCCCUUCACCCUGGCAGGAGUCCGGCCUCCCUCUCCACCAGCCGGCUGACUGUGCGCAGAGCCAGGGGCAGGGCUGUGUUGGCAUCGCGGUGAUAGCGGGGGCUGCACACCUCCGCGCUGGGCGUGAACACGAACUGGGCCACACUGGGCAUCUUCAGCAGGGUCAGCAGCUCCGUGGCCCGGGUGCGGAUGGCUUCCACGCCCUCCUCACUGUGCGUGGAGCUCGUGGCCGGGCUCUGAGCCAGGUUCCUCAUCUUUGACAGCAACAGAGAGGUCCUGGGGAAGAGGGUCCCAGCCGUGAGCUGCAGAUACUCCCCUCGCAGGGAUAGCGUCUGUGUGGAGGGGCCAAGCCCCACAGCACCCAGCCACAGUGGCUUUAGCUCAGCAGGACCCACCCCAGCCCGGCCAGCUUCGCCCACCCAGGACCUGAGCUGCUGAGGUCAUUUCAAGACACCUGGACAGGAAGACCUCAGACGCCUCAGCUCUUCCUUCCCCAGAAAGCCAGAAGGCCUCUCUGCCUCCCCGCCCAGGCACCUGGGGAUCAGGUCUUGGCUCCGGGAGGCCAGCUUCGUCAGCGUCGUCAUCAGCACAGUGACCUACCUGUGGGGGACAGCCAGGCAGGGUGGCAGAGGGGCGGCACUGGGUGAUCUCGAACAGCAGGGCCUCCAGGGCUUCGAAGAACUUGUUGAUCUGCUCCACGGUGCACCUCCGAUCGUAGGUCACCGACAGGUACUCGCCGAUGGCCCACACCUAGGCCCAGGGACACAGGCUCAGCCCCCACCCAGGCCUCCUGGGUCAGGAGUGGUGGAGGGAAGCCAGCGCCUGCCUUACCACGCUGGUGACGAGGCUCGCCCUGCCUCGGAGGCCAUUCACGCUGCCCAGGAACUCCAGGAGGUCUCUCGCCAGCUCCACCACCAGCGAGGGCUUCAGCUUACACAGGGCCAGGAACUGGGAGCUCAGCACCCUGCCCAAGAGCCGGGUCCAUGCUUGCUCUGUGCAGACGCCUGACCCUGUCCCCAUCCCCUACCCCAUCCAGGCCAAGGGUCCUGAGGGAGCCAGGAAGUGUCAGUGGCAGGUGCAGGCUGCACCCUCAGACAGGGACGUUAACAGAUGAUCGCCAUCCCUAGAGGAACUGUUCACCUCACUGGGGAGAAGGCUGGCACCUGCACUGGCCUUGGGGCCCCAGCUCAAAGUGGAACCAGGACGGGCCUUUGGAGAGAAGGACCCAAGGGACGGGGUGUAGAAGAGGGACUUGAGCCAGCCCCGAAGAUGACAGGUUCGGCAGAGGGAAGGACAGGGACAGAGAAGAAGAGCCCAGGACUGGGCAUGGGGCCGAGGGUGGGGGUGGCAGGGUCUGGGGCUGUUGAGGGCCCAGCUGGGGGCGGAACUGCAACCACUGAAGGGAAGGGAGAGGGAAGGGGUCCAGGAAGUGCCUGCCCAGGGCUGUGGUGGGGGCGCAGGAGGGACCCACCUGUGUACACGGGCCGCGUACCCUGGUGCUGGGUAGAGAGAGUCGCUCCUGCCCAGGAGCAGCAGUGCCAGCUGGUUGGUCAGGGCCCCAUCAGCCACCUGGGGGUCGGGAUCAGAGACGGGCUCAGCUUCACCCACACUGCAGGCCCUAAGGUGGGGGUGAGGCCAUGGUGAAGGCUGGGGGCAGCCAAGAGGCUGGAAACUUCUUGUCCACUGCCUUCUCCAACACCCAGGGAUACAGAGACUAAGCUGGCAGCAUCUGGGCACUGGGAGGGAAGCCCUGGGGCAGGCCCAGGAGCCCCUGGAGAAGUGUGGCUUCUGCUCCAUGGCUCCUCUGCCAACACCCGCUCUGUAAGGCUGGGGGCAAGUCCUGCUUGGCCAAGGGUGCGCCCAGGGGAUGCCCAGCCCUGCGCCCAGCCCCCUGCCAGCCUGCCCCCUUCUCGGCUCUCCUGUGCUGGUGUCCCACUUGUAGCGCUCCCAGAGGUGGGAACCAGCGACCAGGUGUGGGUUGGGGGAGCCACCAGCCUUUGGGAGCCUUUAUUUUGGCCUCGGAUGCAGAUGUUAAAGGUAUCAGGGCUUGGGGGGACAAACUGCUCUGCCCCAGCUGUGCUGCCAGCGCCAGGGCUGCUCACUUUCCCCCGAUGGGAGACGGGGCCUGCUGGAAGGAGGUGGAAGGGACCUGCUGGAACGGGGGGGACAGGGCCUGCUGGGAUGGGAGUGGGAAUGGGCCUGCCAGGAUAGGGGAUGUGACCUGCCAGCAUGUGGGACGGGGCCUGCCAGGGCUGUAGCAUGUGGCUGUGGACAGCUGGGUGUGAUGGGAUGAGCCUUCUGCAAACCUCAGGGGGACCCUGCUGGCUGGCUCUGGCUUGCCUUUUGGUUGUGGGAAUGGGGGGCUCCAGGCAGUGGGCUCACCUGGGUCACCGCUGAGAAGAACACCUGCAGCAGUGUGGGCACGGCCUCAGCACACUGGGCCACACGGGCGCAGCCGGCCAUGGGCUGCAGCAGCUGGUGGAGCGGUGCCAACCUGGGGACACAGUGUGGCCGUGAGAGCCGCCUGCUCCCUUACCCGGUGACUGCUGGCCAGGGCCAGGCAUCGGGGCCACGUCAUCACUACCCCCUCUCAUGUGGCUGUGCCCACUCCCAUCCUCGAUUCUCGCCUCUCAGGACCACCUGCUCUCCUGGGCUCAGGGAGACCCCCGGUGUUGGCAUACUGAGGACAGUGGAGCCGUCGGGGCAAAGGCUGGUGUGGGCCAGGGGCAGGAGGUCUGUGGGCCAGUCCUGGGCCUCCUGCUUCCUGGGCUCAGCCUCGGUUUCUCCAUCUGCAAAAUGGCAGCCACAGGGCCGACCCCCAGGCUUCUAAGAGUUGAUCUGGGCAGCAGAGAGAGCUGAGCCCUAGGCCCCCAUCCAGCAGACCAUGCUGCAGGAGGGCCUCUGCGACAGUCGUGACAGCUGCUCCCUGGGGUGGGAACACAGCCUUGUCUGGGGCAUAAAGCACCCUAGCCUCAGCCCAGGGCCCAGCAGCCUGCCCCAUCCUGGCAGCUCCCCAUCCUGAGGGCCCCUACCUCUCAGUGGUGCCACUGGCCUUGGGGCGCAGCAGGUAUUGGAAAAGACCCUGGAACUGUGGGUCCCGGAAGGCCUCCAGGCAGCUGGGGACCCUGAGAGAGGUGUCCCAGAGUGGCCUCUCAGAUGGAGCUGGUGAUGACCUGCGUGGACAGACAUCCAAGGCCGGGCUGGGAUUCGGCACAGGCCACUCAGGGUCCCAUGCAGCCCCUGCCCCCACGGGCACACCCCUUGUUGGGAGACACACAGCAGGUGUCUGUAACAUCACAGCGCCUGGAUGCUGGGAAGGGCUUGGGGGCACGGGAAGGCUCCAGGCCUGGGCGUGAAGAUGGGUGAGGAACUCCAGGGUGCAGGGGCUGCCCCUGGCGGGUGGCCAAGGGUGAGAGACUCGCCCUGUCCUGAAGGUGGCUUUGCAGGGCAGAACUGGCCGCGUGUUGGGGGUGUACAGGGGUCAGAAGCGGUGAGGAGAGGCCCAGUGUGCAGGACCAGCUGGCAGAGGGUGAGGGGCCCACCUGAGCUGCAGGUCCAGUGCCGCAGUCAGGCACGGCAGGUCCAGCAGUGCGUGCAGCAUCUCCAGCGCCGUGCUGGCGUCCACCAGGGCCGGGAGGAGCUCCACGAACUCGGAGGUGAGGGGUGGGCUGUUCCAGCCCAGGAACUGUAGGCACAGCGCAGUGGUUUGGUCAGAGCUCAGAGCUGUGGGGCAGGCGUGAUGCCACAUGGGCACCCUGGGCCCUCACCUUGUGCUGCACCCCACAUUCCAGGCCCAGGGUCCACAGGGCUCUAUGCUCAGCCAGGACUUGCCCUGAACCCUGCUGGAAAGAGGGGAGGAGGCCAACCCCCGCCCUGGCAGCCAAGGAUGCCCAAAUUUGCCUUAAAGAGGUUGGGGAAGCUCAAUUUGAGGGUGCUGAGGUGCCCAGCAAACAGGUGGAGGUUGUCCCUGCAGAACUGGAUGAACUCGAAGGCCAGCAUGGGGCUGUGGAACUGCUCAGAUGGGAUCCUGGUGAACAGGUGCCGGUAGACAGCUUCCGAGUCCACCGCAGCCACCUCCCCUGCAAGACCAGGGCCCGUCAGGGCGCACGCCUGCUGGACGCACGUGUCCUGACCUAGACCUAGUCCUGGCAGUGCCGCUCUGUGGCUGGUUAGGGCACCUGAGUCUCGGGCCUGCUCUCCAGGACACCAAGGGCUCUCUCCUACGUCCUACGCCGGGACGCCGGGGAAGCUACACUCGGUCUCCCCUCUCCCAGCAACACGGCCAGCUCGUGAGUCACACAAACCAUGGCACAUUUUUUGGAAGGUGCUAGUUCCUAGACUUUUGAAUUUCAUGGGCUAGGGACACAGCAAAGAGUUUCUGUUUAUUUUUCUAUUUAAAAGUUUGAAAAUUACCAACAUUUAGCACAGGGAUCCAUAAAAAAGAAACAUGACGGCUGGGCGCGGUGGCUCACACCCGUAAUC